GAUGAACGCUGGCGGCGUGCCUAAUACAUGCAAGUCGAGCGAACAGACGAGGAGCUUGCUCCUCUGACGUUAGCGGCGGACGGGUGAGUAACACGUGGAUAACCUACCUAUAAGACUGGGAUAACUUCGGGAAACCGGAGCUAAUACCGGAUAAUAUAUUGAACCGCAUGGUUCAAUAGUGAAAGACGGUUUUGCUGUCACUUAUAGAUGGAUCCGCGCCGCAUUAGCUAGUUGGUAAGGUAACGGCUUACCAAGGCAACGAUGCGUAGCCGACCUGAGAGGGUGAUCGGCCACACUGGAACUGAGACACGGCCCAGACUCCUACGGGAGGCAGCAGUAGGGAAUCUUCCGCAAUGGGCGAAAGCCUGACGGAGCAACGCCGCGUGAGUGAUGAAGGUCUUCGGAUCGUAAAACUCUGUUAUUAGGGAAGAACAAAUGUGUAAGUAACUAUGCACGUCUUGACGGUACCUAAUCAGAAAGCCACGGCUAACUAUGUG
rnacentral:rRNA from 1 species